GGGCUGGCUUUAGCUCAGCGGUUCCUUCGAGUCUGGCUUCCCAACCGCCCGGGCCCUGGGCCGAUUGGUCCCGUGGUUCGAGACCCGCGGGUGCUCUCCAGUCCUUUU
ensembl:misc_RNA Vault Vault RNA